rnacentral:rRNA from 1 species
GUGGGGAAUAUUGGACAAUGGGCGAAAGCCUGAUCCAGCCAUGCCGCGUGUGUGAAGAAGGUCUUCGGAUUGUAAAGCACUUUAAGUUGGGAGGAAGGGCAGUAAGUUAAUACCUUGCUGUUUUGACGUUACCGACAGAAUAAGCACCGGCUAACUUCGUGCCAGCAGCCGCGGUAAUACGAAGGGUGCAAGCGUUAAUCGGAAUUACUGGGCGUAAAGCGCGCGUAGGUGGUUCAGCAAGUUGAAGGUGAAAUCCCCGGGCUCAACCUGGGAACUGCCUCCGAAACUACUGAGCUAGAGUACGGUAGAGGGUAGUGGAAUUUCCUGUGUAGCGGUGAAAUGCGUAGAUAUAGGAAGGAACACCAGUGGCGAAGGCGACUACCUGGACUGAUACUGACACUGAGGUGCGAAAGCGUGGGGAGCAAACAGGAUUAGAUACCCGUGUAGUCC